GUCUUCUCAUCGCACUCUGUGAUACAGGGACUGGCAGAUAGCCAGAGACAAUGUGAACUAAGUAUGCAAGACAAUGUGAACCAAUCACAGGUUCACAUACAGCCUGUCUGCAGCUGACAGUGGAAGACAGGACUGAGAGUGUUAACUUAAAGUUGGAGCCUGUGUCAGAAUCCAAGAAAAGUAAUGUCUUCAGCAGUCCACAGAACACAUAUCCCAGUACUCAGGAGUUUGUCGCUGAACCGCAUCAGAAGCUGGUGAAAGUACAUCUCAGUAAGGAUGAUGCUCCACUGAC